GGUGGCUCAGUUGUAGAGUGCUUGCCUUGCAUGCAUGAAGCCCUGGGUUCGAUUCCUCAGCACCA
rnacentral:tRNA from 1 species